rnacentral:misc_RNA from 1 species
GUAGGUGAACCUGCGGAAGGAUCAUUAACAAAUCCAUAUUUUAUGCCGCAAGGCGUAGAUAUAAAUUCGCUUGGCUGGCGCAAGCUGCCAAGUUGAAGAAGAUUAUUAUUAUGCACGUGCUGUUGUUGUCGCGAGAUGACGGCGGCAUGUAAAUAAGUGUGUGUGUUGUGUAGACGAGUGUGUGUAAAAACAAAAAAUUAAUUGACAACUUUUAACAAUGGAUCUCUAGGCUCUUGCAUCGAUGAAGAAC